rnacentral:misc_RNA from 1 species
UCUCCGUAGGUGAACCAGCGGAGGGAUCAUUACAGAGUUGGUGACCUCGCGGGUAGAUCUCGCACCCAGUGCUAUAGAUACCUUUGUUGCUUUCGCGGGCCGCCCCCGGCUACCGACCCCGGCUGGUACGCGCCCCCCAGCGCACGCCUAAACCAAAACGUCCGUGCUGUCUGAGUUACUUUAAAUAGUCAAAACUUUCAACAACGGAUCUCUUGGUUCUG